rfam:Myotis brandtii contig287544, whole genome shotgun sequence.
AGGCCUGCAGAGGGAGAGGCAGGGUCUGAUCCACAGCCUCUGUGGCAGUUGUUGAUCAGCCAUUGCCUCUCUCUUUCUCUCCC